GUCACAUAAGAGAACCCUCCUGAACUACUGAUGAGUCAAGGGCAGCCUUCAUGCAAGAACAACUCAAUCAGCCAUUCCAGAUGGAGGAAGGAAAAAGACAUGAAGUUAGGAAGCCUUCAGCAGGAAGCAGGAAAAAGGAACUUGUCUCCAUGAGUUAGUGACAGACCAUGGCACUAAACAUGAGAAAAAACAUCUUGCUGAAUGAAGCACAGAGGUUUCAAACUGGUGGAUCCAGAGCAGAAUAGGUAUGGUGCACAGAUUUGUUUCAUCUAUACAAUAAAGUAUGAAUUUGUUGUAAUAUUUUAAAACCAA
rnacentral:lncRNA from 1 species